rnacentral:rRNA from 1 species
UACAGAGGUGGCAAGCGUUGUUCGGAAUUACUGGGCGUAAAGGGCGCGUAGGCGGCUUGGUCAGUCCCGUGUGAAAUCCCUCGGCUCAACUGAGGAACUGCACGGGAAACUGCCUGGCUUGAGUUCGGGAGAGGGAAGCGGAAUUCCGGGUGUAGCGGUGAAAUGCGUAGAUAUCCGGAGGAACACCGGUGGCGAAGGCGGCUUCCUGGACCGACACUGACGCUCAUGCACGAAAGCGUGGGGAGCAAACAGG